rnacentral:rRNA from 1 species
UACAGAGGUCCCGAGCGUUGUUCGGAUUCACUGGGCGUAAAGGGUGCGUAGGUGGCGUGGUAAGUUUGAUGUGAAAGCUCGGGGCUUAACCCUGAAAUGGCAUUGAAUACUACUGUGCUGGAGGUUUGGAGGGGGGACUGGAAUUCUUGGUGUAGCAGUGAAAUGCGUAGAUAUCAAGAGGAACACCAGUGGCGAAGGCGAGUCCCUGGACAACACCUGACACUGAGGCACGAAAGCUAGGGGAGCAAACAGG